AGAAGAGGAAAGAAUGAAAAGAGAUCCACGACCCAGGGCUUCAUCCUAGAAGUUUCCAGAGGCAGGAAACUCUGGAACUCUGCCAGGAGGAACAAGUCUGCCUUGCCCUAUUCCCACCCAGGGAGAGCUCACUUCCCACAAGAAAUGAAAGUGUUCAGGAGCCCCAGGAUGCAAGGACGAGACCAAGAUCCCUUCAUUCAGAUGAGCAUUCACUGAGCCCUGACUCUGUGUCAGGCAGAGUCCUCAAGGAGUUCAGGGUCUAGAGGGAGAAACCAACAGGCUACUGCAAGCUGCUGGAGGAAACCCCGGAAUCACAUGUGGUCUCUGAGCUCACCUGCUCCACAGCCCUUUGCUUGAUCCUUGCCAGCUCUCAGGCUUUUUUCUCAGCCUCAUUCUAGGG